rnacentral:rRNA from 1 species
UACGUAGGGUGCAAGCGUUAAUCGGAAUUACUGGGCGUAAAGCGUGCGCAGGCGGCUUUGCAAGACAGAUGUGAAAUCCCCGGGCUUAACCCUGGGAACUGCAUUUGUGACUGCAUGGCUGGAGUGCGGCAGAGGGGGAUGGAAUUCCGCGUGUAGCAGUGAAAUGCGUAGAGAUGUGGAGGAACACCGAUGGCGAAGGCAGCCUCCUGGGCCAGCACUGACGCUCAUGCACGAAAGCGUGGGGAGCAAACAGG